rnacentral:tRNA from 1 species
AUUCAUGUAGUUUAAUCUAAAACACUUUAUUUUCAUUAAAAAAAAAGAAAUACAUUUCUCUUGAAUG